UCCCAGACUCCUACGGGAGGCAGCAGUGAGGAAUAUUGGUCAAUGGGCGGAAGCCUGAACCAGCCAAGUCGCGUGAGGGAAGAAGGCCCUGCGGGUCGCAGACCUCUUUGGACGGGGAGCAAGGCCGCCGACGUGUCGGCGGAAGGAGAGUACCCGUAGAACAAGCAUCGGCUAACUCCGUGCCAGCAGCCGCGGUAAUACGGGGGAUGCGAGCGUUAUCCGGAUUUAUUGGGUUUAAAGGGUGCGUAGGCGGCGCUUCAGGUCAGCGGUGAAAUACCGGGGCUCAACCCCGGGGCUGCCGUUGAAACCGGAGCGCUAGAAUUCCGAUGCCGUCGGAGGAAUGCGCGGUGUAGCGGUGAAAUGCUUAGAUAUCGCGCAGAACCCCGAUUGCGAAGGCAGCGUACCGGCUCCACACUGACGCUGAGGCACGAAAGCGUGGGUAUCGAACAGGAUUAGAUACCCGAGUAC
rnacentral:rRNA from 1 species